rnacentral:misc_RNA from 1 species
CAUGUAAUUUACCCAUUAGUGAAUUGACAAGCUUUCUCCAAAAACCUCCCGUAUGUUGAGAAAACAUUCACUCCCUUCCAAUUAAUAAAAAUUUACAAAGAUUAAAAAUCAUAAACAACCUUGCUUUAAAAUAGACCUUAUUUUUUACCCUUAUUUUUCUCUAAUUCAAGCAACCUGUUUUGACCAUUGACAAUUCUUCUAUAGCCUUCGUCCAUCUCAUCAUUCCAGUAAACGCUCACACUCUUAUCAAAUCCGGCGGUGCAAAUCAUUGCUGCGAUGCGAUCUAGGUCAUAGACAAGCUCCACUAUUGUUUAAUCUUCGCCCUCUACAUUCGCCGGAAACAGACCUAUUAGCGGAUAUUUAAGUGCUCUCCAAAAUUUAUGGCGUCUAGGCGCCAAGUUCAUUACUCUCCACUUCCUGUUGACGAAGAUGAUGAUGAUUAUGAUGGCAUUGGGGGGAGGCAUGACCCUCGGUUUGAGUAUAGUCCUGGAGCCUUUGAUAAAAUCCCUUGGAAAUCCAUAGCCCUUGCACUUUUUUUGCUCUUUCUUGGAUCUUUACUUCUCUUUCUUUCAUUCUUCAUCUUGACUGGCCACAUGGGUGGAGAGAAAUCCCAAGGCUAUGGUCUCUUGGCCCUUGGAAUCCUUGCCUUUCUUCCAGGGUUUUAUGAAACUCGGAUGGCAUAUUAUUCAUGGAGGGGUGCUAAAGGAUAUCGCUUUGCUUCUAUUCCAAGUUAUUAAGUGCGCCUUUAAGGAUUGCUCAUAGACCGCCUUGGCUAAUGCUAUCUAUGUAUGUAAUUAUUUAAGUAGAAUUAGGAUUAUAAAGUUGUACUCCAUCACAAAUAAAAUUAGUGGGGAUUGUAUCUAGUGAUAAAGAGUUUGUUUUCUUUGUAGCUUUGUUUUGAAUUCUGAUGGAUUGAUCGACUCAGAAAAAAAAAAGUGUGACUUAAUUACCUUUGCUACAGUUGUCACUUUUGAGGAAAUUGUGGAUGCCUUUACAUUACAAUCUGCUGUACACUUUUCUAAACAAUGGACACAUUUUUCAUUACAAAAAA